rnacentral:rRNA from 1 species
UGGGGAAUAUUGGGCAAUGGGCGCAAGCCUGACCCAGCAACGCCGCGUGAAGGAAGAAGGCUUUCGGGUUGUAAACUUCUUUUAAGAGGGAAGAGCAGAAGACUGUACCUCUAGAAUAAGCCACGGCUAACUACGUGCCAGCAGCCGCGGUAAUACGUAGGUGGCAAGCGUUGUCCGGAUUUACUGGGUGUAAAGGGCGUGCAGCCGGGAAUGCAAGUCAGAUGUGAAAUCCAUGGGCUUAACCCAUGAACUGCAUUUGAAACUGUAUUUCUUGAGUACUGGAGAGGCAAUCGGAAUUCCUAGUGUAGCGGUGAAAUGCGUAGAUAUUAGGAGGAACACCAGUGGCGAAGGCGGAUUGCUGGACAGCAACUGACGGUGAGGCGCGAAAGUGUGGGGAGCAAACA